AGUGACAUGCAGAAACUCCUCUACGAGCUCAUUUGGGAUGCUGCCCAGAAUCAGGAAGGUCUGGACAGAGAGGAUAGGAUGUUGUGGGAAGGAUGGCUGUCCAGUGCUAAUCACAUCAAGGAGACCUGAGAUCGUGACUUAGAUCAUGGGGGAUGUGGCAGUUCCCUCCCCAAAGAACUCAAAGAGGAUCAAGGAGCAGAAAGCUGGAGCUGGGCUGUGUGAGAUGCAGAGGGGAAGGAAUGCGAUACUAGUCACAGGAGCAUUACUAAAAAUUAUAUUGAUAACAGAGAGAGCAGUUAUAAUAAAAAACACAGUAUUUUCCCACUCACUAUGGGAAAAAAGCCGAAGGUGGAGCAAAGCUUGGGAAGUUUGCUCUGGGCUUUUGCUUGAGCAAGUGCGGCAGUUGCAGGCUGUGUGUGGCUCCUUAGUUGCUGUUUUGGGACUUGGCUUUUGUUUCAGGGAGAUUAAGACCAAAGCAAUACAGACCUGGGCAUUUCCUGCUCAAUUUCUAAAGUAACGGAAUGUAGGACUGUGAAGAAGGCCGUUGAGGUAGAAAGAAGUGACAGAGUGCCCGCCUCAGAUGAAGAAAGUGAGGCAGUGCAAGAAACCAGCAUGAUGGAAUAGCUGCCCUGGGAUGAUGAGUCAGAUUCACUGUGGUCCCGCAGGCCUUUCCUCAUGCCUGCUCCAGCUUGGCCACCUACAGCCAAAGCUGGAGGUGUGAGUGCAGCAAAGCUGUUGUCCAGAAUCACGGCACAGGCUCUGAGGCUGAUUGUUGCCUGCAGUGUGUGGGGAGGAUAUUGCCAGCAGCAAUUGCCAGAGAGAUGCUUGACGGCAUCUCUGGACACUGUGGGGUUUUGGAGGGGUUCUUACACUUUUAGCUCAGGCAGUAAAGACUGUCCCAAGACAAUGCUAUUCCCUUUGAAGUGCUGAAGAGGAACCACUGAGCUCCUCACCCUUGUCCCUCUCCUCUCCACAGCAGCUCCAGCUCCACCUCUGGGCUGUCUCUCAUGGGGCUCUUAGCAGCCUCUGAGAUACCCCACCUCCUGAGAGGGCAGCCCAAGCUCUUUUCAGAAGAGAGCUGUGCCUCAACACUUGAACCAAGCCUUGCAAACUCUUGUGAUAUAGACAUCCACACUUGCAGCCCUGCAGAUGCACAUGUGAACUGAGAUGCACAUGUGGGACACAUGCAUGCCCAUGCCCUGCAGUGCUAUUUCUGAAAUGCCCGGGCUGCUUCUGAGGGAGCUGACGUGCCACUGCAGCAGGAAAACACCUCUGCAUACAAGGGGCUGCAGCAACAACCACCCCUGGGUUUCUCCUUGUGUGUUGUUCUGUUCAGUCGCCAGUCCCUUGGUUUCUCGCUAUAUUCCUGUUCUCUCCCACUCCCUCUCUGUCUUGCUGUCUAUCCAAAGCUUCUUCAACAAUCUCCAUCCCGCCCCAACCCAGACUUCGUUCUCUCCUACUCAUUCUGCUCCUUUCUGCUCAUUCUGCGUCUCUUCCUCUUUCCCUGCUGCGUCUUCCUGCAGCUCUGCUCCCAUUCCCUGCCCCUCUUUUGCUCUCGUUGCCUCUCCGUUCUGCUUCCUGUCCCUGUCUCUUCUGUCUUUAUUUCUCGGCUCUGCUCCCUGUGCCACGCUCAGCUCAGACUCCCAGGCGAGCUGCCCCGGCAGCCGGGACACGGCGGAGAGCUCUCCUGCAGCAGCGGCGAAUCGGGCCCGGGAGAGGCGCCUCGGCCCUCGGGCCGGAGCGGGGGCGCUCCGCGCCAGCGGGAGCAGCUGGAGCUGCGGCCCGGGAGGCGGGGCGGGCACAGCCCCACAGCCCCGUUCCCGCCCCUCAUGGCCACAAUGGGAAAGAACAGGGGUUCUCUUGGGAAACCAAGAGACUGGCAACUGGACAGAGCAACACACAAGGGGAAACCCAGGGGCGGUUUUUGCUGCAGCCCAAUAAAUCCAGAGGUGUUUUCCUGCUGCAGUGGUUGCUCCGAGCCAGCGGGAGCAGCUGGAGCUGCGGGGCGGGCACAGCCCCACAACCGCGUGCCCGCCCCUCACGGCCCCGUGCGAAAUGGCGGCAGCAGGGGGCAAGGAGGCCGCGGGCCCCGGGCAGCGCUGCCUCCGUGCCGUGCCACACACGCGGCAGGCGGCUUCAGCAGCAGCACAGGUCUCGGGGCACUGGUCCCACAGCUGGUGACGAGCCGCCGAGCAGCGCAAUGCCUCGAGUGCGUUAAAGGAGAGACUGGGUGUAUAACCCGUUAAAGGAACAAAGAAGGGCAGUGUUCAUCGGUGCCACCCCUCGGGCAGGAAUAGAGGGCCCGAGAUAGCACUCAGACUCAAUGCCGAGGCAGCUGGGCAGCCUGCCUGGCUUCUGGGCAGGAGAUGUCACCAAGACAUCCUCCAGCCUGGUACGGCCCUCUGCUUAUCAUUAUGUGCCACAGCCUUCAAGGUGGGCUGUGAUCUGUGCUCAAUUCCAGAGGAUGGCAUUGGCCAAGCUGAUGCGGCUUGUCGGUUGGAGUCUGCUUAUGAGCCUUGGAGAGACACCCUAAAGGGGGAAAUCUGUCCGUGCCUCUGUGCUUGCAGCUCUAAACACCUGGGGGUUAACUGGUGCUUCAGGGGCAAUUAUACCAAAGGUGCUCUAGAAGGCUUUCCAAGAGAUUCUAGCGUAGCGUGCCUGGCGCACGUAAAUCCUGAAUAUUUCCUUCCCAGAAGAGCUGCUAAGCUAAAAGGCUACCCGUGUUAACUGUUACCUGCAGGAACUGACACAUUUGUGUGUCUCCCAUGGCAUUACCACCUGGGGUCUGAGGACAAGCAAGAGGGAGCUCAGGGCCUCUGGAUGACUGCUUGAGGGAUCUGGGCCGCAUGUGGUAUUUACUUCUGCCACUUGCAGUGACCCAGACACAGAAAGGUUCUAGAGGUGAAUACCUGGCACCCUGGUGUGCCCAACAGAAGUGUAGGGCUUUGACUGUGGGUUACUCCACAGGACACCAGGCCUGAUGGUGGCACAUGGGCUACACCUGCCUCCAAGGGAAAAAGGAUCUUGGCUCAGGAGUUAGUGGGGCUCCUUAAGAGGGCUUUACGUAGGUUUGGAAGUGGAAAGGGAAUAUACUAGGCUCACCUGGGAGAAGCAUGAGCACUGCAAACACAUGUUUGCAUGACAGUGGAGGAUGGAAGCAGUGCUGCCAUCAAAGAUCAUGAAACUGUAGCACAAGUAAUGGGGAAAACAGGUUUCUUGCCAGAAUGCUGUCAGACAAAAAUACUACCAAAGAAAGACACAAUUGAGUUUUUUACAGCAGCCUUCAUACAGGGCUGCUGAUGGGGAUUUAUGAAGAAUAGGACCUGAGUGCCUCUGCAUUCCCAUGCACAGUGCUGCCUCCCAGAAUACAUCAACCCUUCUCCAUUUUGCUCCUUCCAUUCCUAUGCAGAAUAAGGAAAUCAAUAGAGGGCGGGUCCAGGAAUUCACAUGCAAUGUGGGUGUACAUUGGGGAGUUCACAGACACCACUAUGUUAUGAGGUCACAGAGCCCUGUUUGAUGUGAGGUUCCAGAGCCCCACUGCUGCUCUUCAGUGCUCGCUCUGGGCAACACUGCAGCAGCAGCAGCAGCAGUGGCAGGAGCAGCAGAAUCAUGGUCCUGGGCCACUACCUCCUGCUCCUCUUUCUCCUGGCCCUGCAAGCCCAGAAUGCCCAGAGUGCUCCAACACCUGGGCAGGGAGCAGUUGUGGACACAGAGAGAACUCUUUCAGCCCCUGAGCUGGAGCCAAAUACCAUGCUGAUUCCGAGCUGGUACCUCAAGCGUGAGUCAUCAGUCUCUACCGCCUUCACGAGAAUGAGCACUCCUUUCUCCUUUUCCCUGUGUUAUUCAUGAGAAAUACACCUUCAUAGGUAUGACAUCCUUUCAUAAAUCUAACAAUAGGGAAUAAUUAUGACAAGGUUCCUGAAGAAUUCCCUGAAGGAUUCCCAGAUGUUUCAGAGGAGCUCCUGAACACCUUGCAUGAAGCCCCAUCUGGUUAGUAUAUCCCACUCUGUUAACCCUGGGACCUGGGAAGCUGAGCUUUUGGUUCCUGGAGGGAUGUGCUGUAUCCUGGACAGCCAGAAGUGCUGCAGGGAUUUCACACCAUUUCACACCUCCUGGAGUGAGCCAUAGAGAUGGUCCAGCACAGCGUCUGCUCACAGCUCUGCUUCCAGACGAUUGCCAGGGGCAUCUCCAGAUGCUGCUGCAAUUGUACCAUUACUGGCCAGAGCUGCUGUGUGCAGACACUGGCAUCCAGAUGUGGGGAAAAGGCCUGUGCUGAAUUUGUGUUCGCCUCACACUCAGCACAGCAUGGAGGCAGAAAUGCUAUCCCACAAAAUCUUGGCUGCCCCUGCCAAACCUCAGGCUCAGGGAUGGGCUGAAGCUGGACCCCAAGUGUGAGGGUGAACCUGGAGGUAUUCCUUCUGUGGGUCAUUUGGUUGAUUAAGUCUUGGCUGGUUUGGGUCUGCAUUUCUUGUUGCACUGCAGAAAAUCUGGCUAUGGAUUCCUCUUGUCUUGGGGGACAGCAGGCUCCUCACUGCCACUUGCCAGAAUGCCCGGCCACGGUACUGUGCUCUUGGAAAGGGACAGUGGCUUCUGGUUACAGUGUCCAGUGUUUUUUUCUGAAGAGACGGAUUCUGAGACUGUGCUGGAGACCUUCCCUAUGGAAGAAAAUGGCAGCCUGCCAGGCUCAGAUGAAGAAAGAGAACCAACAGAGGACACCAGCACACUUGCUGAGCCUGGGGAAUAUUCAUGGUCAGCUGCUGGGCAAAAAGCCAAGACUGCUGGACAGUGGGAAUUUAGCAAGAACUACAUUCUAGCAUCUGUAGCAGUCUCGGCUCUGCUGCUGCUUGCAGCAGUGGUUGGGUACAUAAUCAUGUACCAGGCUGCUGAAGCGAGACAUGUGAGUUAUUCAUUGCUGCCAUUGGCAAUGAAGGGUUUGCACCAGGCUGGAGUGCCCAGGCAGCUCCUAGCAAGGCUCUGUGGAAACCGCUGCAGUGCAAUGCUUUAACUGUGCUCCAAAUUCAUAUCUAUGAGGAGUCUUGGAAAUCUGUUUCUACAGCAGGACUCAGGAAGACAAGGAGGCAACAAGACAGGACUGGGACUCUUCCAGGGAAAGCUGUGGUCUGCCUAGACGUGAAGCAGAAUCAAGCUGCCGCCUGUUUCCUGAGGUCUUUGCAGCAGAGCUUGCCCAGGUGUACAAGAACAUGGGCACAGACCGCUCACCUCUGCCCAUGUGUUCCUUCUGUGCUCUGGCUGACGGUGCUUCUUCACGGGACCACUGGAUUUCCCUGGACUCACCUCAGCCCACACCAUUCUGGUGCCCCUGCUACCAGUACCAGCAGGAACACUUUAUAUUAGGGGACCAUGAUUAGUGAUAGUGAGAGUUAUAAAUAGUGAUAGGGAUGGUGACACCUGCAGUGAUACUUUUAGUGGUAGUGACACUUUUAGUGAUAGUGAUACUUUAUAUUAGAGGAUAACGAUUAUUUUACUGAUAGUGGUAGCAUAUAAAUAAAUGUAUUUCCAAAAGCAGUAAGUCCUUGGCUGUUGCGGAUGUUUCUGUUGGGGUAGAAUGCACAGAGCUGGGAGCAGGUCUGGGGCUGGUAGAGGAGCUCUGAGCAACUUGCACUGCAGUGCAGGAGCUGUUUGUGCCAGCCUCAGCCUGCUUUCCCAGCAGUGGCCAGUAACAAGGCUUUCCUUCACCAGAAUAAGGACACGCUAGUGAGGAGUGACAUGCAGAAACUCCUCUACGAGCUCAUUUGGGAUGCUGCCCAGAAUCAGGAAGGUCUGGACAGAGAGGAUAGGAUGUUGUGGGAAGGAUGGCUGUCCAGUGCUAAUCACAUCAAGGAGACCUGAGAUCGUGACUUAGAUCAUGGGGGAUGUGGCAGUUCCCUCCCCAAAGAACUCAAAGAGGAUCAAGGAGCAGAAAGCUGGAGCUGGGCUGUGUGAGAUGCAGAGGGGAAGGAAUGCGAUACUAGUCACAGGAGCAUUACUAAAAAUUAUAUUGAUAACAGAGAGAGCAGUUAUAAUAAAAAACACAGUAUUUUCCCACUCACUAUGGGAAAAAAGCCGAAGGUGGAGCAAAGCUUGGGAAGUUUGCUCUGGGCUUUUGCUUGAGCAAGUGCGGCAGUUGCAGGCUGUGUGUGGCUCCUUAGUUGCUGUUUUGGGACUUGGCUUUUGUUUCAGGGAGAUUAAGACCAAAGCAAUACAGACCUGGGCAUUUCCUGCUCAAUUUCUAAAGUAACGGAAUGUAGGACUGUGAAGAAGGCCGUUGAGGUAGAAAGAAGUGACAGAGUGCCCGCCUCAGAUGAAGAAAGUGAGGCAGUGCAAGAAACCAGCAUGAUGGAAUAGCUGCCCUGGGAUGAUGAGUCAGAUUCACUGUGGUCCCGCAGGCCUUUCCUCAUGCCUGCUCCAGCUUGGCCACCUACAGCCAAAGCUGGAGGUGUGAGUGCAGCAAAGCUGUUGUCCAGAAUCACGGCACAGGCUCUGAGGCUGAUUGUUGCCUGCAGUGUGUGGGGAGGAUAUUGCCAGCAGCAAUUGCCAGAGAGAUGCUUGACGGCAUCUCUGGACACUGUGGGGUUUUGGAGGGGUUCUUACACUUUUAGCUCAGGCAGUAAAGACUGUCCCAAGACAAUGCUAUUCCCUUUGAAGUGCUGAAGAGGAACCACUGAGCUCCUCACCCUUGUCCCUCUCCUCUCCACAGCAGCUCCAGCUCCACCUCUGGGCUGUCUCUCAUGGGGCUCUUAGCAGCCUCUGAGAUACCCCACCUCCUGAGAGGGCAGCCCAAGCUCUUUUCAGAAGAGAGCUGUGCCUCAACACUUGAACCAAGCCUUGCAAACUCUUGUGAUAUAGACAUCCACACUUGCAGCCCUGCAGAUGCACAUGUGAACUGAGAUGCACAUGUGGGACACAUGCAUGCCCAUGCCCUGCAGUGCUAUUUCUGAAAUGCCCGGGCUGCUUCUGAGGGAGCUGACGUGCCACUGCAGCAGGAAAACACCUCUGCAUACAAGGGGCUGCAGCAACAACCACCCCUGGGUUUCUCCUUGUGUGUUGUUCUGUUCAGUCGCCAGUCCCUUGGUUUCUCGCUAUAUUCCUGUUCUCUCCCACUCCCUCUCUGUCUUGCUGUCUAUCCAAAGCUUCUUCAACAAUCUCCAUCCCGCCCCAACCCAGACUUCGUUCUCUCCUACUCAUUCUGCUCCUUUCUGCUCAUUCUGCGUCUCUUCCUCUUUCCCUGCUGCGUCUUCCUGCAGCUCUGCUCCCAUUCCCUGCCCCUCUUUUGCUCUCGUUGCCUCUCCGUUCUGCUUCCUGUCCCUGUCUCUUCUGUCUUUAUUUCUCGGCUCUGCUCCCUGUGCCACGCUCAGCUCAGACUCCCAGGCGAGCUGCCCCGGCAGCCGGGACACGGCGGAGAGCUCUCCUGCAGCAGCGGCGAAUCGGGCCCGGGAGAGGCGCCUCGGCCCUCGGGCCGGAGCGGGGGCGCUCCGCGCCAGCGGGAGCAGCUGGAGCUGCGGCCCGGGAGGCGGGGCGGGCACAGCCCCACAGCCCCGUUCCCGCCCCUCAUGGCCACAAUGGGAAAGAACAGGGGUUCUCUUGGGAAACCAAGAGACUGGCAACUGGACAGAGCAACACACAAGGGGAAACCCAGGGGCGGUUUUUGCUGCAGCCCAAUAAAUCCAGAGGUGUUUUCCUGCUGCAGUGGUUGCUCCGAGCCAGCGGGAGCAGCUGGAGCUGCGGGGCGGGCACAGCCCCACAACCGCGUGCCCGCCCCUCACGGCCCCGUGCGAAAUGGCGGCAGCAGGGGGCAAGGAGGCCGCGGGCCCCGGGCAGCGCUGCCUCCGUGCCGUGCCACACACGCGGCAGGCGGCUUCAGCAGCAGCACAGGUCUCGGGGCACUGGUCCCACAGCUGGUGACGAGCCGCCGAGCAGCGCAAUGCCUCGAGUGCGUUAAAGGAGAGACUGGGUGUAUAACCCGUUAAAGGAACAAAGAAGGGCAGUGUUCAUCGGUGCCACCCCUCGGGCAGGAAUAGAGGGCCCGAGAUAGCACUCAGACUCAAUGCCGAGGCAGCUGGGCAGCCUGCCUGGCUUCUGGGCAGGAGAUGUCACCAAGACAUCCUCCAGCCUGGUACGGCCCUCUGCUUAUCAUUAUGUGCCACAGCCUUCAAGGUGGGCUGUGAUCUGUGCUCAAUUCCAGAGGAUGGCAUUGGCCAAGCUGAUGCGGCUUGUCGGUUGGAGUCUGCUUAUGAGCCUUGGAGAGACACCCUAAAGGGGGAAAUCUGUCCGUGCCUCUGUGCUUGCAGCUCUAAACACCUGGGGGUUAACUGGUGCUUCAGGGGCAAUUAUACCAAAGGUGCUCUAGAAGGCUUUCCAAGAGAUUCUAGCGUAGCGUGCCUGGCGCACGUAAAUCCUGAAUAUUUCCUUCCCAGAAGAGCUGCUAAGCUAAAAGGCUACCCGUGUUAACUGUUACCUGCAGGAACUGACACAUUUGUGUGUCUCCCAUGGCAUUACCACCUGGUGUCUGAGGACAAGCAAGAGGGAGCUCAGGGCCUCUGGAUGACUGCUUGAGGGAUCUGGGCCGCAUGUGGUAUUUACUUCUGCCACUUGCAGUGACCCAGACACAGAAAGGUUCUAGAGGUGAAUACCUGGCACCCUGGUGUGCCCAACAGAAGUGUAGGGCUUUGACUGUGGGUUACUCCACAGGACACCAGGCCUGAUGGUGGCACAUGGGCUACACCUGCCUCCAAGGGAAAAAGGAUCUUGGCUCAGGAGUUAGUGGGGCUCCUUAAGAGGGCUUUACGUAGGUUUGGAAGUGGAAAGGGAAUAUACUAGGCUCACCUGGGAGAAGCAUGAGCACUGCAAACACAUGUUUGCAUGACAGUGGAGGAUGGAAGCAGUGCUGCCAUCAAAGAUCAUGAAACUGUAGCACAAGUAAUGGGGAAAACAGGUUUCUUGCCAGAAUGCUGUCAGACAAAAAUACUACCAAAGAAAGACACAAUUGAGUUUUUUACAGCAGCCUUCAUACAGGGCUGCUGAUGGGGAUUUAUGAAGAAUAGGACCUGAGUGCCUCUGCAUUCCCAUGCACAGUGCUGCCUCCCAGAAUACAUCAACCCUUCUCCAUUUUGCUCCUUCCAUUCCUAUGCAGAAUAAGGAAAUCAAUAGAGGGCGGGUCCAGGAAUUCACAUGCAAUGUGGGUGUACAUUGGGGAGUUCACAGACACCACUAUGUUAUGAGGUCACAGAGCCCUGUUUGAUGUGAGGUUCCAGAGCCCCACUGCUGCUCUUCAGUGCUCGCUCUGGGCAACACUGCAGCAGCAGCAGCAGCAGUGGCAGGAGCAGCAGAAUCAUGGUCCUGGGCCACUACCUCCUGCUCCUCUUUCUCCUGGCCCUGCAAGCCCAGAAUGCCCAGAGUGCUCCAACACCUGGGCAGGGAGCAGUUGUGGACACAGAGAGAACUCUUUCAGCCCCUGAGCUGGAGCCAAAUACCAUGCUGAUUCCGAGCUGGUACCUCAAGCGGAAUAAUUAUGACAAGGUUCCUGAAGAAUUCCCUGAAGGAUUCCCAGAUGUUUCAGAGGAGCUCCUGAACACCUUGCAUGAAGCCCCAUCUGGUUAGUAUAUCCCACUCUGUUAACCCUGGGACCUGGGAAGCUGAGCUUUUGGUUCCUGGAGGGAUGUGCUGUAUCCUGGACAGCCAGAAGUGCUGCAGGGAUUUCACACCAUUUCACACCUCCUGGAGUGAGCCAUAGAGAUGGUCCAGCACAGCGUCUGCUCACAGCUCUGCUUCCAGACGAUUGCCAGGGGCAUCUCCAGAUGCUGCUGCAAUUGUACCAUUACUGGCCAGAGCUGCUGUGUGCAGACACUGGCAUCCAGAUGUGGGGAAAAGGCCUGUGCUGAAUUUGUGUUCGCCUCACACUCAGCACAGCAUGGAGGCAGAAAUGCUAUCCCACAAAAUCUUGGCUGCCCCUGCCAAACCUCAGGCUCAGGGAUGGGCUGAAGCUGGACCCCAAGUGUGAGGGUGAACCUGGAGGUAUUCCUUCUGUGGGUCAUUUGGUUGAUUAAGUCUUGGCUGGUUUGGGUCUGCAUUUCUUGUUGCACUGCAGAAAAUCUGGCUAUGGAUUCCUCUUGUCUUGGGGGACAGCAGGCUCCUCACUGCCACUUGCCAGAAUGCCCGGCCACGGUACUGUGCUCUUGGAAAGGGACAGUGGCUUCUGGUUACAGUGUCCAGUGUUUUUUUCUGAAGAGACGGAUUCUGAGACUGUGCUGGAGACCUUCCCUAUGGAAGAAAAUGGCAGCCUGCCAGGCUCAGAUGAAGAAAGAGAACCAACAGAGGACACCAGCACACUUGCUGAGCCUGGGGAAUAUUCAUGGUCAGCUGCUGGGCAAAAAGCCAAGACUGCUGGACAGUGGGAAUUUAGCAAGAACUACAUUCUAGCAUCUGUAGCAGUCUCGGCUCUGCUGCUGCUUGCAGCAGUGGUUGGGUACAUAAUCAUGUACCAGGCUGCUGAAGCGAGACAUGUGAGUUAUUCAUUGCUGCCAUUGGCAAUGAAGGGUUUGCACCAGGCUGGAGUGCCCAGGCAGCUCCUAGCAAGGCUCUGUGGAAACCGCUGCAGUGCAAUGCUUUAACUGUGCUCCAAAUUCAUAUCUAUGAGGAGUCUUGGAAAUCUGUUUCUACAGCAGGACUCAGGAAGACAAGGAGGCAACAAGACAGGACUGGGACUCUUCCAGGGAAAGCUGUGGUCUGCCUAGACGUGAAGCAGAAUCAAGCUGCCGCCUGUUUCCUGAGGUCUUUGCAGCAGAGCUUGCCCAGGUGUACAAGAACAUGGGCACAGACCGCUCACCUCUGCCCAUGUGUUCCUUCUGUGCUCUGGCUGACGGUGCUUCUUCACGGGACCACUGGAUUUCCCUGGACUCACCUCAGCCCACACCAUUCUGGUGCCCCUGCUACCAGUACCAGCAGGAACACUUUAUAUUAGGGGACCAUGAUUAGUGAUAGUGAGAGUUAUAAAUAGUGAUAGGGAUGGUGACACCUGCAGUGAUACUUUUAGUGGUAGUGACACUUUUAGUGAUAGUGAUACUUUAUAUUAGAGGAUAACGAUUAUUUUACUGAUAGUGGUAGCAUAUAAAUAAAUGUAUUUCCAAAAGCAGUAAGUCCUUGGCUGUUGCGGAUGUUUCUGUUGGGGUAGAAUGCACAGAGCUGGGAGCAGGUCUGGGGCUGGUAGAGGAGCUCUGAGCAACUUGCACUGCAGUGCAGGAGCUGUUUGUGCCAGCCUCAGCCUGCUUUCCCAGCAGUGGCCAGUAACAAGGCUUUCCUUCACCAGAAUAAGGACACGCUAGUGAGGAGUGACAUGCAGAAACUCCUCUACGAGCUCAUUUGGGAUGCUGCCCAGAAUCAGGAAGGUCUGGACAGAGAGGAUAGGAUGUUGUGGGAAGGAUGGCUGUCCAGUGCUAAUCACAUCAAGGAGACCUGAGAUCGUGACUUAGAUCAUGGGGGAUGUGGCAGUUCCCUCCCCAAAGAACUCAAAGAGGAUCAAGGAGCAGAAAGCUGGAGCUGGGCUGUGUGAGAUGCAGAGGGGAAGGAAUGCGAUACUAGUCACAGGAGCAUUACUAAAAAUUAUAUUGAUAACAGAGAGAGCAGUUAUAAUAAAAAACACAGUAUUUUCCCACUCACUAUGGGAAAAAAGCCGAAGGUGGAGCAAAGCUUGGGAAGUUUGCUCUGGGCUUUUGCUUGAGCAAGUGCGGCAGUUGCAGGCUGUGUGUGGCUCCUUAGUUGCUGUUUUGGGACUUGGCUUUUGUUUCAGGGAGAUUAAGACCAAAGCAAUACAGACCUGGGCAUUUCCUGCUCAAUUUCUAAAGUAACGGAAUGUAGGACUGUGAAGAAGGCCGUUGAGGUAGAAAGAAGUGACAGAGUGCCCGCCUCAGAUGAAGAAAGUGAGGCAGUGCAAGAAACCAGCAUGAUGGAAUAGCUGCCCUGGGAUGAUGAGUCAGAUUCACUGUGGUCCCGCAGGCCUUUCCUCAUGCCUGCUCCAGCUUGGCCACCUACAGCCAAAGCUGGAGGUGUGAGUGCAGCAAAGCUGUUGUCCAGAAUCACGGCACAGGCUCUGAGGCUGAUUGUUGCCUGCAGUGUGUGGGGAGGAUAUUGCCAGCAGCAAUUGCCAGAGAGAUGCUUGACGGCAUCUCUGGACACUGUGGGGUUUUGGAGGGGUUCUUACACUUUUAGCUCAGGCAGUAAAGACUGUCCCAAGACAAUGCUAUUCCCUUUGAAGUGCUGAAGAGGAACCACUGAGCUCCUCACCCUUGUCCCUCUCCUCUCCACAGCAGCUCCAGCUCCACCUCUGGGCUGUCUCUCAUGGGGCUCUUAGCAGCCUCUGAGAUACCCCACCUCCUGAGAGGGCAGCCCAAGCUCUUUUCAGAAGAGAGCUGUGCCUCAACACUUGAACCAAGCCUUGCAAACUCUUGUGAUAUAGACAUCCACACUUGCAGCCCUGCAGAUGCACAUGUGAACUGAGAUGCACAUGUGGGACACAUGCAUGCCCAUGCCCUGCAGUGCUAUUUCUGAAAUGCCCGGGCUGCUUCUGAGGGAGCUGACGUGCCACUGCAGCAGGAAAACACCUCUGCAUACAAGGGGCUGCAGCAACAACCACCCCUGGGUUUCUCCUUGUGUGUUGUUCUGUUCAGUCGCCAGUCCCUUGGUUUCUCGCUAUAUUCCUGUUCUCUCCCACUCCCUCUCUGUCUUGCUGUCUAUCCAAAGCUUCUUCAACAAUCUCCAUCCCGCCCCAACCCAGACUUCGUUCUCUCCUACUCAUUCUGCUCCUUUCUGCUCAUUCUGCGUCUCUUCCUCUUUCCCUGCUGCGUCUUCCUGCAGCUCUGCUCCCAUUCCCUGCCCCUCUUUUGCUCUCGUUGCCUCUCCGUUCUGCUUCCUGUCCCUGUCUCUUCUGUCUUUAUUUCUCGGCUCUGCUCCCUGUGCCACGCUCAGCUCAGACUCCCAGGCGAGCUGCCCCGGCAGCCGGGACACGGCGGAGAGCUCUCCUGCAGCAGCGGCGAAUCGGGCCCGGGAGAGGCGCCUCGGCCCUCGGGCCGGAGCGGGGGCGCUCCGCGCCAGCGGGAGCAGCUGGAGCUGCGGCCCGGGAGGCGGGGCGGGCACAGCCCCACAGCCCCGUUCCCGCCCCUCAUGGCCACAAUGGGAAAGAACAGGGGUUCUCUUGGGAAACCAAGAGACUGGCAACUGGACAGAGCAACACACAAGGGGAAACCCAGGGGCGGUUUUUGCUGCAGCCCAAUAAAUCCAGAGGUGUUUUCCUGCUGCAGUGGUUGCUCCGAGCCAGCGGGAGCAGCUGGAGCUGCGGGGCGGGCACAGCCCCACAACCGCGUGCCCGCCCCUCACGGCCCCGUGCGAAAUGGCGGCAGCAGGGGGCAAGGAGGCCGCGGGCCCCGGGCAGCGCUGCCUCCGUGCCGUGCCACACACGCGGCAGGCGGCUUCAGCAGCAGCACAGGUCUCGGGGCACUGGUCCCACAGCUGGUGACGAGCCGCCGAGCAGCGCAAUGCCUCGAGUGCGUUAAAGGAGAGACUGGGUGUAUAACCCGUUAAAGGAACAAAGAAGGGCAGUGUUCAUCGGUGCCACCCCUCGGGCAGGAAUAGAGGGCCCGAGAUAGCACUCAGACUCAAUGCCGAGGCAGCUGGGCAGCCUGCCUGGCUUCUGGGCAGGAGAUGUCACCAAGACAUCCUCCAGCCUGGUACGGCCCUCUGCUUAUCAUUAUGUGCCACAGCCUUCAAGGUGGGCUGUGAUCUGUGCUCAAUUCCAGAGGAUGGCAUUGGCCAAGCUGAUGCGGCUUGUCGGUUGGAGUCUGCUUAUGAGCCUUGGAGAGACACCCUAAAGGGGGAAAUCUGUCCGUGCCUCUGUGCUUGCAGCUCUAAACACCUGGGGGUUAACUGGUGCUUCAGGGGCAAUUAUACCAAAGGUGCUCUAGAAGGCUUUCCAAGAGAUUCUAGCGUAGCGUGCCUGGCGCACGUAAAUCCUGAAUAUUUCCUUCCCAGAAGAGCUGCUAAGCUAAAAGGCUACCCGUGUUAACUGUUACCUGCAGGAACUGACACAUUUGUGUGUCUCCCAUGGCAUUACCACCUGGGGUCUGAGGACAAGCAAGAGGGAGCUCAGGGCCUCUGGAUGACUGCUUGAGGGAUCUGGGCCGCAUGUGGUAUUUACUUCUGCCACUUGCAGUGACCCAGACACAGAAAGGUUCUAGAGGUGAAUACCUGGCACCCUGGUGUGCCCAACAGAAGUGUAGGGCUUUGACUGUGGGUUACUCCACAGGACACCAGGCCUGAUGGUGGCACAUGGGCUACACCUGCCUCCAAGGGAAAAAGGAUCUUGGCUCAGGAGUUAGUGGGGCUCCUUAAGAGGGCUUUACGUAGGUUUGGAAGUGGAAAGGGAAUAUACUAGGCUCACCUGGGAGAAGCAUGAGCACUGCAAACACAUGUUUGCAUGACAGUGGAGGAUGGAAGCAGUGCUGCCAUCAAAGAUCAUGAAACUGUAGCACAAGUAAUGGGGAAAACAGGUUUCUUGCCAGAAUGCUGUCAGACAAAAAUACUACCAAAGAAAGACACAAUUGAGUUUUUUACAGCAGCCUUCAUACAGGGCUGCUGAUGGGGAUUUAUGAAGAAUAGGACCUGAGUGCCUCUGCAUUCCCAUGCACAGUGCUGCCUCCCAGAAUACAUCAACCCUUCUCCAUUUUGCUCCUUCCAUUCCUAUGCAGAAUAAGGAAAUCAAUAGAGGGCGGGUCCAGGAAUUCACAUGCAAUGUGGGUGUACAUUGGGGAGUUCACAGACACCACUAUGUUAUGAGGUCACAGAGCCCUGUUUGAUGUGAGGUUCCAGAGCCCCACUGCUGCUCUUCAGUGCUCGCUCUGGGCAACACUGCAGCAGCAGCAGCAGCAGUGGCAGGAGCAGCAGAAUCAUGGUCCUGGGCCACUACCUCCUGCUCCUCUUUCUCCUGGCCCUGCAAGCCCAGAAUGCCCAGAGUGCUCCAACACCUGGGCAGGGAGCAGUUGUGGACACAGAGAGAACUCUUUCAGCCCCUGAGCUGGAGCCAAAUACCAUGCUGAUUCCGAGCUGGUACCUCAAGCGGAAUAAUUAUGACAAGGUUCCUGAAGAAUUCCCUGAAGGAUUCCCAGAUGUUUCAGAGGAGCUCCUGAACACCUUGCAUGAAGCCCCAUCUGGUUAGUAUAUCCCACUCUGUUAACCCUGGGACCUGGGAAGCUGAGCUUUUGGUUCCUGGAGGGAUGUGCUGUAUCCUGGACAGCCAGAAGUGCUGCAGGGAUUUCACACCAUUUCACACCUCCUGGAGUGAGCCAUAGAGAUGGUCCAGCACAGCGUCUGCUCACAGCUCUGCUUCCAGACGAUUGCCAGGGGCAUCUCCAGAUGCUGCUGCAAUUGUACCAUUACUGGCCAGAGCUGCUGUGUGCAGACACUGGCAUCCAGAUGUGGGGAAAAGGCCUGUGCUGAAUUUGUGUUCGCCUCACACUCAGCACAGCAUGGAGGCAGAAAUGCUAUCCCACAAAAUCUUGGCUGCCCCUGCCAAACCUCAGGCUCAGGGAUGGGCUGAAGCUGGACCCCAAGUGUGAGGGUGAACCUGGAGGUAUUCCUUCUGUGGGUCAUUUGGUUGAUUAAGUCUUGGCUGGUUUGGGUCUGCAUUUCUUGUUGCACUGCAGAAAAUCUGGCUAUGGAUUCCUCUUGUCUUGGGGGACAGCAGGCUCCUCACUGCCACUUGCCAGAAUGCCCGGCCACGGUACUGUGCUCUUGGAAAGGGACAGUGGCUUCUGGUUACAGUGUCCAGUGUUUUUUUCUGAAGAGACGGAUUCUGAGACUGUGCUGGAGACCUUCCCUAUGGAAGAAAAUGGCAGCCUGCCAGGCUCAGAUGAAGAAAGAGAACCAACAGAGGACACCAGCACACUUGCUGAGCCUGGGGAAUAUUCAUGGUCAGCUGCUGGGCAAAAAGCCAAGACUGCUGGACAGUGGGAAUUUAGCAAGAACUACAUUCUAGCAUCUGUAGCAGUCUCGGCUCUGCUGCUGCUUGCAGCAGUGGUUGGGUACAUAAUCAUGUACCAGGCUGCUGAAGCGAGACAUGUGAGUUAUUCAUUGCUGCCAUUGGCAAUGAAGGGUUUGCACCAGGCUGGAGUGCCCAGGCAGCUCCUAGCAAGGCUCUGUGGAAACCGCUGCAGUGCAAUGCUUUAACUGUGCUCCAAAUUCAUAUCUAUGAGGAGUCUUGGAAAUCUGUUUCUACAGCAGGACUCAGGAAGACAAGGAGGCAACAAGACAGGACUGGGACUCUUCCAGGGAAAGCUGUGGUCUGCCUAGACGUGAAGCAGAAUCAAGCUGCCGCCUGUUUCCUGAGGUCUUUGCAGCAGAGCUUGCCCAGGUGUACAAGAACAUGGGCACAGACCGCUCACCUCUGCCCAUGUGUUCCUUCUGUGCUCUGGCUGACGGUGCUUCUUCACGGGACCACUGGAUUUCCCUGGACUCACCUCAGCCCACACCAUUCUGGUGCCCCUGCUACCAGUACCAGCAGGAACACUUUAUAUUAGGGGACCAUGAUUAGUGAUAGUGAGAGUUAUAAAUAGUGAUAGGGAUGGUGACACCUGCAGUGAUACUUUUAGUGGUAGUGACACUUUUAGUGAUAGUGAUACUUUAUAUUAGAGGAUAACGAUUAUUUUACUGAUAGUGGUAGCAUAUAAAUAAAUGUAUUUCCAAAAGCAGUAA